GUGGGGAAUAUUGCACAAUGGGGGAAACCCUGAUGCAGCCAUGCCGCGUGUGUGAAGAAGGCCUUCGGGUUGUAAAGCACUUUCAGCGAGGAGGAAAGGUCAGUAGCUAAUAUCUGCUGACUGUGACGUUACUCGCAGAAGAAGCACCGGCUAACUCCGUGCCAGCAGCCGCGGUAAUACGGAGGGUGCAAGCGUUAAUCGGAAUUACUGGGCGUAAAGCGCACGCAGGCGGUUGGAUAAGUUAGAUGUGAAAGCCCCGGGCUCAACCUGGGAAUUGCAUUUAAAACUGUCCAGCUAGAGUCUUGUAGAGGGGGGUAGAAUUCCAGGUGUAGCGGUGAAAUGCGUAGAGAUCUGGAGGAAUACCGGUGGCGAAGGCGGCCCCCUGGACAAAGACUGACGCUCAGGUGCGAAAGCGUGGGGAGCAA
rnacentral:rRNA from 1 species